rnacentral:misc_RNA from 1 species
UGUCGUGUGAAGCCUCGAGCGCUGCGACACUUCUUGUCGUGAACUAUUCCGUGUCGUCUCUCGACGAACUGUCAAGCACGGACUGCUCACGGUUUCUGGUGCUGCCCACGCGCGCUCUUUCCUUUUCUUAGUACAUUCGUAUAGCAAGCAGCACUGACAGACGCACGUGUGACGAGAUUUCUGCAGAAAACGCAACGCCUCUACACCGUUACACACCCCCUUCACACGCCGUCCUCUCCCUCGCUCUGUUACUGUAGUGCCAUGGCACUUCCUUUCUGCGCCGCCCUCGCCAUCGCGCAGCUGGUGAUUUUCGUCAGCGUCGCUGGUGUCGUCAGUGGGCUGGACGAGCAGCACUCGUACUACGAGGGCAACUACGGCACAACCGGGCUGGUGUUCGGCAGUCCCGACAGCUCGCGCACCUCCUGGGACUAUACAAACCUGAAGGAUUGGCCAACGCUGUGCUUGACGGGGAGACGGCAGAGCCCGAUUUCCUUCGCGAAUGUGAACCCCGACGAGGUUGUGAUGAAUGCUCUGCUGCAGCGAUUGCAGUUCUCCUCCAAGUGCGUCUUCCCACGUGAGGAGACGCAGAUGCGAAUCAUCAACGAGGGCAUCGUGAGCACAGUCAGCUUUGAGGAGCUGGGACGCUCGCUGGAUGACAUGAGCGAGUGCACGGUGAUGGACCCGCUGAACCGUUCGCUCACCUACCACUUCACGGGCCUGCACUUUCACGCCAUGCCGGUGCACAAACUCCGCACGCUGCGCCCCGAUGCCGAAAUGCACAUGUCUUUUACCACAAAUCAUGUAGAACAAAAGAUGCGUAAUGUACUGAUAGUGGCGGUGAUGCUAAAGGCCUCCGCCAUGGUCAACAGCACCUCAGCGCGAGCGCUGCAGCACAUCUUAGUGGACGGCUCGCUGCCGAAGCGCAACGCCAUGACAACGUGCUUCCUGACAGAGAGCCUCUCCCUCUUCUCGCUAAUUCCGGCGCGCGAGAGCUACCUGCUCUACGACGGCUCCCAGACGCACCCACCCUGCACCGAGAACGUCCGUUGGGUGGUAAUGACCUCGCCAAUUCUCAUCUCACCCGUGGCGCUCGGCAGGCUGCGCGACGCGAUGGAUGCGCUGCUGCCGAACGACUUCCACCGCUUCGGCAACGCCCGUCCGCCGCAGGCCCUCAAUGGUCGUCUUAUUUUCCGCUUCGACGACAGGUCCGUUCCGGACGGCGGCAACAGGGGUGAAGGCAACUUCAAAGAUGCAUGGAGUCGCAAGGACGAAGGCUGGGCGAAUCGCUCCCUGGGAGUGCGGGCGGGCCGCGUGCUGGAAGGGUCUCUGGUGGAGGUGGAUGGUGACUAUAAGUACGACAGCGCCGUCGUUGUCUCGCCAGUGUCGCCAAACCCUGUCUCGGCGUCAAGGAAUGGCACCACUCACGCGUCUUCGCCACCCAUCACGACCAGCCCAGGCAGGUACAACGGAUCAUCGGACCAAGCAAUGGCGAAACCGGGCACGGGGGCGCUGGGGCCGGCGUAUAUGGCGAAUGCGAGCAGAACUGGCCCGGAAACGCACUCUCACGUCAACGAGAGCGACGCAGACUACUCAAAUGCAACCGCAAAUGCAAGUUCAGCGCCACGAACAAGCGUCGUGUCGUCUGCCUCCGCGUCCAGCGCCGACGAGAGCAUGCCCAGUGGGUUACAUCAUGGCUCCGAGUCCUCAGCGCCGACGCCAUCUGACGAAUCGGCGCCACGGUCAACGACAACGUCGACGACCACCACCACGACUACAACGAAGGAGCCUUCGGGCACCAAGGGAAAGAAGAGGUACGGGGACGGAGCCUCGAAGAACACCUCCGAAGCCGAUGCCGGGGUUGUGGACUCGGUCAAGUCCAUCGUGACACGUGCGUUUACUUCUGUGAAGGCCUUUAGCAUUGGAGCCUUUCAGUCUUCUGUAGCUUACGCCAAGGCAAACCCGGUGCGUGCAGUGCUCGUUCUGCUGUGCAUCAUCGUACUCAUCUUUCUUAUCUCCACAUGCUGCCGCGGGUGGAGGCGGCCAGUUUAUGUGGUGGGGAUCGAUCCGACAGAGCUGCAACCCCUCAACUCUGCCAAACGGUUCGACCUCUACGGCGGCACCGGCACCGGCACCGUGGCGGUGCGGUAAGUCUAUACGACAUCGGAGCAGAAGGACAGCAAGAGGAGCGCUGCGGUGCCCUUAUACGCCCUUGGAACGAAGGAUGGCCGCACCCCACAGAGAUGCAUUAUUCAUUGCGCUGUGAGGGGCGGAGGGGAGGGGGCAGGCGUGCACGAAGAUCGCGACGACGGCCCCAUGACAGCUACUGUUUCUGCGGAGGCUGUUGACGGAAUGCGAUAAAACGUUUGCUGUUGAUGGAGCGGAUUAUCGCAGUCGUGUGCCCCAUACACACACACACACAUAUGCGACGCUCGCUGCGCCUUGUCCCGUCUUUUUAUCUCUGUCGAUGAGGCGCUGUGGCCGGGCACGGAACGGUGGAGUUGCUCACCGUAGAGACGGAGAGAUUCAGAGCUAGGGGAGCAACAGCAGCAGGAGGAUGCGGGUGCUGGUGCGUGCUGUCGCGCUCUAUUCUUAUCCAUGGUUGGCUUCGUACUCUUGCACGCGUGUUUGAUUCUGUUCAUGUGUGGGUGAGGGAGUGGCGCCACAACGCGCACAUAGCCCCGCCCUCUUCCACCCUUCUUCCGCUGCCGGAGGAGGGCGAGUGAGCACACGCACACAUAUAGGCACACACAGGUCGCUGCGCAGCAAGCGUGCACUUCGUUUCUUUGCUUGUUUGGAUAUUGUGUUGUUGCUAUCGCACAUCUCCUGUGUGUGCUCUCAUGUCGCCUCGUCGCGCCUUUUCCUUUUUGGUUUUCGUGCUCUGCCUCUGAUACGGUUGCCUUCAUUUCUUUUCGGCUUUUUCGCCGUGUACGCAUGGGGGAGGGGUGCAUGUAGAAAUGGUAACUCGCUACCCUCCCUCCUCCCUCCUAUCCCCUCUCUCCCCAUCCCGGCAGCAGGAGUGCGGGGUACGAGCAAGCCAACAUAAUGCAACAGAAAAGCGAGCGAGCGAGCCGACUCCGUGUUUUGGGGAGAAGGAGGGGCCAUUAGGUCACCCACAGAGAAGCAGGACGGGUGGGGGAGAGGGACGCUUGCCAGUGUUCUACUUCCCGACUUCAUGGAAAUGUCGGAGCCUCUGGACAGGAUCUCAUUCCAGACGGCGCGUCAAAAGGCUGCAGCCUGGGCUUGCGGGCGGCGGCGUGGCGUUUCAGUCAGUAGAUGACUUCGCUUCUCUAUCGUGCUUUCUCAUAGCCCAUCCCUCCUUCCCUUUCCUGCAGCGGCG